GAGCUUCCGUUGAAUGACGUGCUUGCACUGAUUUCAACAAUGAAGCGAGUGGCGAACUGGUGAGUAACACGUGGGAAAUCUGCCCAGAAGCAGGGGAUAACACUUGGAAACAGGUGCUAAUACCGUAUAACAACAAAAUCCGCAUGGAUUUUGUUUGAAAGGUGGCUUCGGCUAUCACUUCUGGAUGAUCCCGCGGCGUAUUAGUUAGUUGGUGAGGUAAAGGCCCACCAAGACGAUGAUACGUAGCCGACCUGAGAGGGUAAUCGGCCACAUUGGGACUGAGACACGGCCCAAACUCCUACGGGAGGCAGCAGUAGGGAAUCUUCCACAAUGGACGAAAGUCUGAUGGAGCAAUGCCGCGUGAGUGAAGAAGGGUUUCGGCUCGUAAAACUCUGUUGUUAAAGAAGAACACCUUUGAGAGUAACUGUUCAAGGGUUGACGGUAUUUAACCAGAAAGCCACGGCUAACUACGUGCCAGCAGCCGCGGUAAUACGUAGGUGGCAAGCGUUGUCCGGAUUUAUUGGGCGUAAAGCGAGCGCAGGCGGUUUUUUAAGUCUGAUGUGAAAGCCUUCGGCUUAACCGGAGAAGUGCAUCGGAAACUGGGAGACUUGAGUGCAGAAGAGGACAGUGGAACUCCAUGUGUAGCGGUGGAAUGCGUAGAUAUAUGGAAGAACACCAGUGGCGAAGGCGGCUGUCUAGUCUGUAACUGACGCUGAGGCUCGAAAGCAUGGGUAGCGAACAGGAUUAGAUACCCUGGUAGUCCAUGCCGUAAACGAUGAGUGCUAAGUGUUGGAGGGUUUCCGCCCUUCAGUGCUGCAGCUAACGCAUUAAGCACUCCGCCUGGGGAGUACGACCGCAAGGUUGAAACUCAAAGGAAUUGACGGGGGCCCGCACAAGCGGUGGAGCAUGUGGUUUAAUUCGAAGCUACGCGAAGAACCUUACCAGGUCUUGACAUCUUCUGCCAAUCUUAGAGAUAAGACGUUCCCUUCGGGGACAGAAUGACAGGUGGUGCAUGGUUGUCGUCAGCUCGUGUCGUGAGAUGUUGGGU
rnacentral:rRNA from 1 species